rnacentral:rRNA from 1 species
UACAGAGGGUGCGAGCGUUGUCCGGAAUUACUGGGCGUAAAGGGCGCGUAGGCGGCCUUCUAAGUCGAACGUGAAAUCCCUGGGCUCAACCCAGGAACUGCGUCCGAUACUGGAAGGCUUGAAUCCGGGAGAGGGAUGCGGAAUUCCAGGUGUAGCGGUGAAAUGCGUAGAUAUCUGGAGGAACACCGGUGGCGAAGGCGGCAUCCUGGACCGGUAUUGACGUUGAGGCGCGAAAGCCAGGGGAGCAAACGGG